AGUCGAACGGUGAAAGAGGAGCUUGCUCCUCUGGAUCAGUGGCGAACGGGUGAGUAACACGUGAGUAACCUGCCCUUGACUCUGGGAUAAGCGUUGGAAACGACGUCUAAUACCGGAUAUGAACCGCGAAGGCAUCUUCUGCGGUUGGAAAGAAUUUUGGUCAAGGAUGGACUCGCGGCCUAUCAGCUAGUUGGUGAGGUAACGGCCCACCAAGGCGACGACGGGUAGCCGGCCUGAGAGGGUGACCGGCCACACUGGGACUGAGACACGGCCCAGACUCCUACGGGAGGCAGCAGUGGGGAAUAUUGCACAAUGGGCGAAAGCCUGAUGCAGCAACGCCGCGUGAGGGACGACGGCCUUCGGGUUGUAAACCUCUUUUAGCAGGGAAGAAGCGAAAGUGACGGUACCUGCAGAAAAAGCACCGGCUAACUACGUGCCAGCAGCCGCGGUAAUACGUAGGGUGCAAGCGUUGUCCGGAAUUAUUGGGCGUAAAGAGCUCGUAGGCGGUUUGUCGCGUCUGCUGUGAAAACGCGAGGCUCAACCUCGCGCCUGCAGUGGGUACGGGCAGACUAGAGUGCGGUAGGGGAGAUUGGAAUUCCUGGUGUAGCGGUGGAAUGCGCAGAUAUCAGGAGGAACACCGAUGGCGAAGGCAGAUCUCUGGGCCGUAACUGACGCUGAGGAGCGAAAGCGUGGGGAGCGAA
rnacentral:rRNA from 1 species